rnacentral:rRNA from 1 species
CAGUCGCCGCGGGAAGACAGAGGAUGCAAGCGUUAUCCGGAAUGAUUGGGCGUAAAGCGUCUGUAGGUGGCUUUUCAAGUCCGCCGUCAAAUCCCAGGGCUCAACCCUGGACAGGCGGUGGAAACUACCAAGCUGGAGUACGGUAGGGGCAGAGGGAAUUUCCAGUGGAGCGGUGAAAUGCGUUGAGAUCGAAAAGAACACCAACAGCGAAAGCACUCUGCUGGGACGACACUGACACUAAGAGACGAAAGCUAGGGGAGCAAAUGGGAUUAGAUACCCCAGUAGUCCCUGUCUCUUAUAA